rnacentral:ncRNA from 1 species
CUAACAGCGAGGAAGGAGAAGAGGCCCCUGUAACGGUCCUCCAGAGAGGGAUGCCCCGGCUGGAAGCAUCCCGGACGUCAGCGGGGAGCCGGACCACUCCGGAGCUGCCGGGCCGAAAAGAAAAGUAAGCCUGGCCGGUGCCUACCGUUAAAAGGUUUUCAGAGGGGGGAGCAUAUCCCCUGAAGAAGGGUGGAACCACGGGCACAACUCCCGUCCCUUUA